UUAUAAAUAAGACAAGUUUUACACACACACACACACACACACACACACACACACAUUCUCUCUCUAACUAUAGCUGGAUGAUAUAAGAAAGCCACUAAAACAUCCAGUAGUACAUAUAUAAGAAGACAUUAGUGUAUAUUUAAUAUGUUGGUCCUCUGGAAUUGUCAUCAAGGCCCCUCCCUAAGGACAAAGAUCUAUUAACACUGCUCCCCCCAAUCUAUGCCAUUCUGAAGAGUGUUGCCAAGAAAUUAAGCCAGAUAUUUCUAAGCUUGCUAUAAGAUUGUUGAAUUGGCCCUGCUACCUCCUACAUAUCAUGCCAACACCAAUCCUCACCUCAAGAUGAUAAGGGAAGAACAGAAGUGGAAGAGAGAGCAUUUCUAGUUUUCUCUUUCUGCAUAACAAAUGGCUUAAUGGCAAAAUUUAAUGGCUUAAAACAACACAAACUUAUUAUCUCAGUUUCCCUGAGCUCAGUUCAGCUGCAUCCUCUGCUUAGUGUCUUACAAUGCUGAAAUCAGGGUGUCGGUGACACUGUGUUCUCAUCUGGAGGCUCAGCUAGGAAAAGAUACACUUCUAAACUUUGUCAGGAAGUUUACAAAAUUCAGUUCCUUGGUACUAGUAGCCUUGAGAUCCCUUUGGUCCUGCUAGAUGUCGGCAUGAAAUUGAUUUCGGCUUCUAAAAGUUCUCAGGUCCUUGCUAUGUGGUCUCUGCCACGGGCCCUCUCACACUUCUAAUCUCUCUGCCUUCAGGAAGGGAGUGCCAGUUCCUUUUAGUUGCUAAUCUGAUUAGAUCAGGGUCAUUGGCUAUCUCCCUUUUGACUCAAAGUCCAAUAACUAAUAACCUAUUCAAGGAGUAAUCUACCAUCAGAUUCACAGAUUCGGCCCACUCAAAGAGGCAGGAAUCUUGGGGGCCAUCUGAGAAUUCUGCCUACCACAAAGAGAUAUGAUGGGAGAUGUCUGGGAAGCUCUGUGAGUACAGCAAUAGGCUGCCUGAGAUGGGAAGACAAGAAUUUCAUUCUUUAUUGCAGUCCUAUCCUGGUGGCCCCGUUAGACAAGAGCACAGCAUGGUAGGGGAGUUCCGGGGAAGGUUUCAUGCCUAUUCCCUGAAGUUUCUUGCCAUAUGUAAAACUUGCUAUUGGUGCCACGGCAUUUUCUGCAAAGGCAGAAGACUUGAGGGAAUAUCUGGCAACAGAGAGGUAAUAACAGACGCUGGUUUGGUGUGCAUUGGGAAAGAACUCCAUCCCAGUUCUCCAAGACUCUCAUGGAGGGCGGGGAGAUGCCCCACUCUGAGGGAGGUUGGGACAGGGCCUACUUGAGAGGGACUAAAGGGAGACAUGGCUGCCCCUCUUUGAGGGCGCCCAGUGGCUGAGGAGGCUGACAAAAAGCUAAAACUUCCUAAGAAAGCCAUGCACAGCAUCAGUGUGGAGACCAUUAUAUCAUAAGAGCAGACAGAAUCAACUUGAGGUUGAUUGGAACCUUGGUUGCCUCCCCACCACCAGCAGGUGACUGAUUACCCUCGAAAGAUCUCUGCCUCCCCUAUGUCUUCUCCCACUCUCCCAAACCAGGAGGAAGCAAGCUCUGAAACACGGACGAGAAAGAAGUAAGCAGGAUCAGAUCAUUUCUUCUCCCCUCUCCAAAUGUUUCGAGCCACAGUCCUGGACGACUUAGAGAGGGAAGAGGUGCAGCUAUGUCACAUUCUACUUGGCAUUUUAAAAUAACGUGAAGAUACAUCAUGAGAAAACACAAAGGCAUUUCACAAGAACUCAAAGAAGCCAAGAAACAAUGACAACAUAACUGAUUUUGUACAUUCCCUCUAAAAUAAGUGGACUCAUUAUGAGCCUGUGUUGGAAUGUCUACCUCUUGCUUCAAAGCCCUGAUCACUGAUGUUUCUUAGACCUCCUUUGUUUACCUAAGGAAUCACUAUGUAACGCUCUGUGCGAUAUAUUCACUGGCAACAUCAUAGAAGAAAUUCUCUAUUCAGAACAUAAAUCCAUUAUCAGGAGGAAGAUUUGAACAUUCAGCUGCCACAAGCCAAAGAUUUCCAGGAACCACGAGAAACUAGCAGGAGCAAGGAAGGAUGUCCCCUAGAGCCACUGGAGGGAGCAUCGCCUUACUGACAUCUUGAUUUUGAACUUUUGGUUUCCAGAACUGUGAAAGGAAAAUUUUCACCAAGUUUGUGGUAAUUCAUUAUGACAGCCUUAGGAAACAAAUACAAGUUGUAUAACAUAUUCAUAGAUUGGAAGGUUUAAAACUGUCAGAAUGACAAUUCCUCCCAAACUGACCUAUAGAGUCACCACAGUCUUCAUCAAAAUCUUUGCAAGUUGUAGUCAUGGACAAGGGCAAGGUGGACAGACUGAUUGAAAAAUUUGUAUCUAAAGGGCCAAGACUGGCGAACAUAAACUUAUAGAAGAAUAAAAACAAGAUCGGAGGACUUAUUCUAUCAGAUGUCCAAACUGAUUACAGAGCACUGUGACACUGUUACACAGAUAGACAAAAUAGACUAAAUGGCAUGAAAUAGAGAGUCUAGAGUAGAUCUACACAUAGUCACCUGAUGAUGACAAAGGGGACACUGCAGUGCAAAGGGGAAAACAGUGGCCUUUUCACUGGGUUAAUAGAAUUUGCCUAUGGGGAUAAAAGCUUUCUUGAUCUCUGUCUCACAUCUAUAACUGCAGGCUUUAACUGAGUUAAUAAGGAAGGAAAAGUAAUAAAAUGUUUACAAAUUGUACAGUAAAAUAUAAAACUUUUCCAUAUUAUAUAAUUAUCUAUAUUAAAAAAUAAGGAAUCUGUUAAAAAGCUAAUAAAAUUAAUAAGGGAGUUCAGCAAGAUCACAGGAUACAAGUUCAAUACAUAAAAAUCAAUUGAGUUCUACAGACUACAAAAUUGAAUUUUUAAAAAU